rnacentral:lncRNA from 1 species
CUUUCUAUUCAUCUACUCUAGAUGCCUUUGCAAACUCCUCUUCUCCAUCAACGCCCCUUUGUUACUCAUUUCUAGCUUUCAAAGUUUCACCUUGGCUUCAGCGGCAUCCUACUGAGCCUGACAUAAGUCUCUUUCAAGAGCCUCAAUUCAAGUUCUCAGAGGUAAGGCCAUCAGAAGAUGCUUAACCUGAUAUAAGGUGAAUAUACGAUCGCAACAGUCACAUC